rnacentral:rRNA from 1 species
UACGUAGGGCGCAAGCGUUGUCCGGAAUUAUUGGGCGUAAAGAGCUCGUAGGCGGUUUGUCGCGUCUGCUGUGAAAACCCGAGGCUCAACCUCGGGCCUGCAGUGGGUACGGGCAGACUAGAGUGUGGUAGGGGAGACUGGAAUUCCUGGUGUAGCGGUGGAAUGCGCAGAUAUCAGGAGGAACACCAAUGGGCGAAGGCAGGUCUCUGGGGCCAACAACUGAC